GAUGAACGCUGGCGGCGUGCCUAAUACAUGCAAGUCGAGCGAACAGACGAGAGUGCUUGCACUCUCUGACGUUAGCGGCGGACGGGUGAGUAACACGUGGGUAACCUACCUAUAAGACUGGGAUAACUUCGGGAAACCGGAGCUAAUACCGGAUAAUAUUUAGCUUCGCAUGAAGCAAUAGUGAAAGACGGUUCUGCUGUCACUUAUAGAUGGACCCGCGGUGUAUUAGCUAGUUGGUGAGGUAACGGCUCACCAAGGCAACGAUACAUAGCCGACCUGAGAGGGUGAUCGGCCACACUGGGACUGAGACACGGCCCAGACUCCUACGGGAGGCAGCAGUAGGGAAUCUUCCGCAAUGGACGAAAGUCUGACGGAGCAAUGCCGCGUGAGUGAAGAAGGUUUUCGGAUCGUAAGACUCUGUUGUAAGGGAAGAACAAGUACGUUAGUAACUGAACGUACCUUGACGGUACCUUACCAGAAAGCCACGGCUAACUACGUG
rnacentral:rRNA from 1 species